rnacentral:rRNA from 1 species
AGUUCGGAUUGAAGGCUGAAAUUCGCCUUCAUGAAGUCGGAAUUGCUAGUAAUGGCAGGUCAGCAUACUGCCGUGAAUACGUUCCCGGGCCUUGUACACACCGCCCGUCACACCAUGAGAGUUGGAGAUACCCGAAGCCUAUGAGCUAACUUUUAGAGGCAGUAGUCGAAGGUAGAAUCAAUGAUUGGGGUGAAGUCGUAACAAGGUAUC